GGGGCUGACUUGGAUUUCGACAGAUUUCUUGUCGCACAGACAGCAUGCCAAGUGCUGCUUGUAAAACAGCAACAAAAAUAACUGUAAACAACACAGAUUACGCUCCAGCUUACGCUAAAGUUGCGUGAGUUAAUCUCCUUUUGGAGCUGGACUGAUUAGAAUUUCUAGCGUUUUAAUCACUCCAUAACCUUAAGCUAGACGCUUUUAAAAGGUGGUUCGCCUUUUAAACUAAGAGACAAGAACUCUUGAAACUAUCUCAAGGUUUUAGAAAGUUGGACCAGAGCUAGUUUUAAGGCUAAAAAGCUAACCAAUUUUCUAAGCAUUGUAGAAGUUUGUGUUUAGGGCAAGAUUUUUGGACUGGGGUUCGAUUCCCCACAGCUCCACCA
rnacentral:tmRNA from 1 species